ensembl:lncRNA novel transcript
GGGAGACAUCAGCUGGAUAUUGAGAUGGAAGGAUGACUAUGAGUAUGAGCUAUUAUAGAAACCAUGGAAUCUUUGGCCAUCUAUGAAACAAUUUCCAUGGGAAAAUGACUUGUUUGGACUGUAUUUUCACAAAGCUGAUAUUUCUGGCCCUUAGAAUAUGAUACCUGUUUGUCUAAAAAACAUAUAUCUAUUCAGAUAGGACAAAAUUCCUUUUCACUGCAGUAUUGGGAGCCUGGAACUAGAGUUACCAACCCCUCUGCGUUAAAGAAGGAGCUGUCCUGAGGCUUCCAUCUCUACUGGGCUUGAGGCAAGAACAUUGUUAGGGACGGCCUGCUCUUGGCCUCUGUGCCCCAGGGAUUGCAAAUGCAUGUUCCUCAAAGGUAAGGGCUGUAUCAUUCGGCUUUCUUUGUAUUCACAGGUACAGCUUGUGCUAGGCAGCCGGUGUUCAAUAAAUAUCGUGCCUAAGGAUAAA